CCUGAGGGAAGGAGAGAGUGGCGGGCAGGAAACUCCGUGCAAGCCUGGGACCGAGGAUCAGCUUCUAAAAGAUGGUCAGCAAUUUUGUUCAACCUUUCAGCAGUUCAUGAUCAGAAGAUCUUGUGACCAGCAUCAUCAAACUGACCUAAUCAAUCUGCUAUUUUGACAUCAGCGAUGAAGGGGCUGCAGGAUCCAGAUGACAGAAGCCAGCGAUGAACACCGACCGUGGACAACAGAUGAAACAGACAGGAUAAAAACAUUGGAGGGUACGUUGUCUUCAUGGCAGGGUGCCAUUUUACAUCUCUGGUGUGGCAGAAGUACUGGAACCUUCAUAUUUUUUCUGAAUGGAAAGAUUCUGCAGAGCAGAAAAAUCAUGGAAUAAUGAACACACUGGAGAAUAUAUUGUCUGGAGCAAUCCCAUAAUGGC